CUCUGGGAUAAGCCUGGGAAACUAGGUCUAAUACCGGAUAUGACCUGCCUCCGCAUGGUGGUGGGUGGAAAGUUCCGGCGGUACGGGAUGGGCCCGCGGCCUAUCAGCUUGUUGGUGGGGUGAUGGCCUACCAAGGCGACGACGGGUAGCCGGCCUGAGAGGGUGACCGGCCACACUGGGACUGAGACACGGCCCAGACUCCUACGGGAGGCAGCAGUGGGGAAUAUUGCACAAUGGGCGAAAGCCUGAUGCAGCGACGCCGCGUGAGGGAUGACGGCCUUCGGGUUGUAAACCUCUUUCAGCAGGGACGAAGCGCGAGUGACGGUACCUGCAGAAGAAGCACCGGCUAACUACGUGCCAGCAGCCGCGGUAAUACGUAGGGUGCGAGCGUUGUCCGGAAUUAUUGGGCGUAAAGAGCUCGUAGGCGGUUUGUUGCGUCGGCCGUGAAAACUUCACGCUUAACGUGGAGCCUGCGGUCGAUACGGGCAGACU
rnacentral:rRNA from 1 species